CCUACGGGAGGCAGCAGUGGGGAAUUUUGGACAAUGGGGGCAACCCUGAUCCAGCCAUGCCGCGUGUGUGAAGAAGGCCUUCGGGUUGUAAAGCACUUUCGGCCGGAACGAAAUCGCGCGAUCUAAUAAGUCGCGUGGAUGACGGUACCGGAAGAAGAAGCACCGGCUAACUACGUGCCAGCAGCCGCGGUAAUACGUAGGGUGCGAGCGUUAAUCGGAAUUACUGGGCGUAAAGUGUGCGCAGGUGGCCGCGCAAGUCGAGUGUGAAAUCCCCGGGCUUAACUUGGGAAUUGCGCUCGAAACUACGUGGCUGGAGUGUGGCAGAGGGAGGUGGAAUUCCACGUGUAGCGGUGAAAUGCGUAGAGAUGUGGAGGAACACCAAUGGCGAAGGCAGCCUCCUGGGCCAACACUGACACUCAUGCACGAAAGCGUGGGGAGCAAACAGGAUUAGAUACCCUGGUAGUCCACGCCCUAAACGAUGAUGACUAGUUGUUGGGGGAGUUAAAUCCCUUAGUAACGCAGCUUACGCGUUAAGUGCCCCGCCUGGGGAGUACGGCCGCAAGGCUGAAACUCAAAGGAAUUGACGGGGGCCCCGCACAAGCGGUGGAGCAUGUGGUUUAAUUCGAAGCAACGCGAAGAACCUUACCUGGGCUUGACAUCUACGGGAAAGCCUCUGGAAACAGGGGCCCCCCCUUCGGGGCUCGUAGACAGGUGCUGCAUGGGCUGUCGUCAGCUCGUGUCGUGAGAUGUUGGGUUAAGUCCCGCACCAAGCGCAACCCCUGUGGCGUGUUGCCAUAUUUAAGUUGGGAACUCAGCCCAACUGCCGGUGACAA
rnacentral:rRNA from 1 species